rfam:Daphnia pulex DAPPTscaffold_359_Cont9015, whole genome shotgun sequence.
GUCAAGAUUGCCGAGUGGUUAAGGCGCUAGACUUAAGAUUCUAAUUCAAAUAAUAGAUUAAUAGGUAAUCUUGUAAAAUCCGUUACUUAGCAUUCUGGUCUUCGAAGAAGGCGUGGGUUCGUACCCCACUCUUUACA